ACCCUGCAAUCAAAUAGAUUGUCCCAAGGGCGCCAUAUUCUAGGAGCCCAAGUUAUGCUAUUGAAAAUUCGUUCCUCUAGCAGUUCCGGUUUGAGCAUUCCGUUCCCUUUUUCAAACUCCACUUCUUUUCAUAUAGCAUCCCUGAUCAAAGAGAGAACAAUAUCCCCAUCGAGCCCUGGCUUUAGAGUCACUGGUUUCUAA
rnacentral:rRNA from 1 species